UGGGGAAUCUUGCACAACGGAGGAAACUCUGAUGCAGCGAUGCCGCGUGAGUGAAGAAGGCCUUUGGGUUGUAAAGCUCUUUUGUAGGGGAAGAUAAUGACUGUACCCUAAGAAUAAGGUCCGGCUAACUUCGUGCCAGCAGCCGCGGUAAUACGAAGGGACCUAGCGUAGUUCGGAAUUACUGGGCGUAAAGCGCGCGUAGGCCGUUGAGUUAGUUAAUUGUGAAAUCCCAAAGCUUAACUUUGGAACUGCAAUUAAAACUGCUCGACUAGAGUUUGAUAGAGGAAAGCGGAAUACAUAGUGUAGAGGUGAAAUUCGUAGAUAUUAUGUAGAACACCAGUUGCGAAGGCGGCUUUCUGGAUCAACACUGACGCUGAGGCGCGAAAGUAUGGGUAGCAAAGAGGAUUAGAUACCCUCGUAGUCCAUACCAUAAACGAUGAUUGCUAGAUGUUGGAAAUUUAUUUUCAGUAUCGCAGCUAACGCAUUAAGCAAUCCGCCUGGGGAGUACGACCGCAAGGUUA
rnacentral:rRNA from 1 species